ACACACGCAUACAGCUUCCCAAAGACGAUGAGAAACACGUUAAGACUGACAACAAAAUCAUUACAAAAAAAAAAAGAGAGAGAGAGAUCAUUUGGGGUUACUUGAGAAGGCGGGGAAGGGGUUAGAUAAUGCUUUCUGAAUUUCUUCUGAGCACAGUGUACCAAGAGAGGAACCUUGAAGAUCUAGAGAUUCCUUCAUAUGUAUGGCCCCAGAGGCGAGGUGCUAGCCUCUGGCACUUGUUGGAGAGCAAAGGAGCGGGACAAAAUUCGCCCAGCUCAGUCCCCCGACCGCCACGUUCGGGACACCCAAUAACCAGCAACGUCCCCAAGCCUGGGUGGGGCGGCGAAGGGUCAAGAAGGGAGGCCCAGGAGCCGCAGCCAGGAGCCGCAGCCAGAAGCCGCGCUGAUGCCGCGUGGCACCGGAGAGGUGGCUGCGGAUCCGGCUCCGAGAGAACGAGGGGAAGACGCAGGUUGUCAUCAGCGCCGCCCACCCGACCUGCUCACCGAAGCCGAGGAAGCACAUCAGCAGCAGCACCAGCAGCCGGUGCGCCAGGCGGCUGGGGUCGCAGAGUGCCGGCAGCGCCCGCGGGGCGGCACGGGCGCCUUCUCCCGCCGCGGCAGGGCCGCCCGGCAGCAGCGCCCGCGCCUCCUCGUCCUCCUCCUCCAUCGUGCCGGCGGCGGGGCUACAGGCGAAAGCGGUAGCCGCUGGGGGACCCGGCAGGAAGAGCCGCCGCCAGAGCCCAGGCAAGACUCUGCGGUCACGUGCAGGCGGGCGCUCACGUGACGCCGCGGCGGGCCACGCUCACGUGGGCAGGAUCACGUGGACCGGAUCACGUGCGGGGCAGCUUGGCGGGAGGGGCGCGCUGCGGGCCGCCCUCCCCGGGCCAAUGUGUCCCUGCGGCCGCGCCUCCUCCGGCCCGCGCCCCGCCUCCCCCGCUGGCCUCGUCGCCCGGUCCUUUCCUGCCCUGCCCACGCACACGCGCAUUUCGGAUCGGCGCAACUCCGCCCGGGCAAGUGUGGGCCUGCCGCUCGCCUCGGCACCCGACUCCUCCCGGGUGAUCCGACCUGCGCUAGGAACAUGAAGAACGCGCUGCCCUGUUCGCAGCACUGCUCUCCUCGGCGCCCUUGACUUGAUGGAGCGCUUGCUGAUGUGCCCAGCCGUGUGCCAGGUACUGCGAAUACAAAAUAGAAUGAGACACGCUAUCUGACCUCAAAGAGUUCAGGGUUUAGUUGGAGAGGUGAACAGAAACCGAUACACGAUACGAUGCAUGAACCAACGGAUGUGAAAGGCCCUAACCAGACACCAAAUGUGCCAGUGCCUUGAUCUUGGACUUCCCAUCCUCCAGAACUGUAAGGUAAGCUGUGGCAACCCCAUUCUCCCAGGAAAGAAAAGGAGGGAGACAAAGACGUCAAGGGCAAGAUGACUCAGGAGGAAUAGAGGCAAAGAGAAAGUGUGUUGCUGAGGAAGUUGAGGAUGUCCCGUGUGAACCCACAGGGAGAGGACUCUUAGAAGUUUGUGCCUGAUUUCCUCCAGAUUUCAGCCCAUGAGCCUUUUCCUUCUGCUGAUUUUGCUGUGUAUCCAUUCUCUUUAAUAAAUCAUAAUC